ensembl:lncRNA
AGCUGACCUCAGUUCCCAUUUCACUGAUGGGCCUAGUCAUGCCACCUCCACCCUAGACCUGGCCACCAGAAGUACAGCAGCCUCUUUUGUUUGACAGCGGGCAGCCACUUACACGACUGCUUCUCAGUGGAAGUUCACUUUGCUCAGAAGCACAAAUCUGGCAAACUGUGGCAAAUCAUAACAGUGUGCAGCAGUGCAAGAUGUGUAUUUGACUAAAAAAGCCUGAAGGACGUUUCAGGGAAAGAAAAGGGAUGAAACUGCCUAAGCUAUAAAAUUUUUAGUGAGUUUAGCUUGAUCAGAGGACACGAAUCAAUGCCUCCAUCCACAUGGAACUACAUUAUAGAGUUACAUUUCUUGGCCAUCCCAGCUCCCACCUCUUUCCCUGUAGCCUCUUUCCCCAUGGUCUCUCAUCUCAAGAUGAGACCGCAGGCCCAAGGGUGACAUUGGAGUCAGCAUUUUUCCAGGAGGUGACUUGUGGCCUGCCAUGGAGUCUUGUGUGGCUGGCCAAUCACACACCAGAAGUAGAUACUGUGAAAAGGCAAAACCCCUCUGCCUCCAUCUCACCACAGGGGUCUUGUGGAGGGGGUUGUUGAGAACAGGGAGGGGAAAGAGACAUGCAGUAUAAUUUCCUGCUUGCCAGAAUUUCUUAAAUUGAUGUGGCCAGCAACGUUUCUGGUAAAUGUUAAAUUAAUUUGGAAAGUCUUCAUGUAUUGUUUCUUACCAUGAGAAGCACUCAUCACUUCUCACUGGCUAUCUGCCCUGCCUGCAAAUGGGGAGGGAAGAUUAACAGGCCACAGCAAAAACGUUCAUGAGGCUGCAGCCUGUGGCUUAGCACAGGAGCUAGGAAAUUCCCCUCACCAAGGUAUCCAAAAUACUGGGCAGCUUUGUCUCAAAUGCAGAGAAUUCAGAAUUUAUUAAUGCUGCUGCACCAGUUGUUAAAGGAAAACUAAGUUGUGCUUGAAGGAAAAUGAAGGUAAAUAAAGAAGCUCCGUUCUCUUCAGACUUGCUUAAAGCCUGCUUAAAUGUUUGGUAUCUAAAAGCUCUCCAAACUAACAGCAGUAAAGCACUCAUGCAUUAGCUUUAAGGAACACUGAAGACUGUGGUGACAAGCACCGUAAAAACUCAUGUGACAACAGAAGAAAAAUGUAGAGGGAUAACCAUCUGUGUGGAGCUGGAAUGAAGGAUCGCCGUACAUGUUACAUUUGUAUUUGACGGACUCCUUCUUGCUAGAUAAAAAUAUAGCAUGCUGUUGUACACUGCUUAUCAGACUAAAAAUACAGAAGUUAAUUUUC